AAUCCAGGUAAUGUGUAGAAAUGCUGGAUGAUCCUUGGUUUCAAGCUGGUUCCAGGGCUGAAGGGUGCUGCCUGAUUCAAAUCCUAUAUGCAUGACCUCCAAAGGUGUGUAUUUUGUCUGAGUUUAAAGAGUGGGUGUGGGUCAGUGUGGGGAUAAUUGCCCUGCUGAAUUUGAGAUAGUCAUAACCACACCUAUAAUCCAUUUCAGGAGGCAGAGAGGGAGAGAAGGAAAUUUCACUGGCAGGAGCAGCAGGCCAGAGCAGAGCAGGGUUCUGCUGAGGGAUGCAGAGGAAGGGCUGGGAGCUGCUUUUAGAGCCCAUGUCUCAACAGAUGGCACUAGAGCACCAGCAGACCCCCACCUGCAACCUCCCUGACUGGACCUUCGGAUUCAAAUAUAAAGUUGGAGAUGGACUGGGGAAGCCAAAAGGGGGCCCAGAGCUAGUUCUGGGUUACAGGGCACCUCCAAAUCUCUGGGCAAUUUGUCUCAUCUCAGCAAAGGGGUCAUAGUUCUGCAAUGCAUGUCAGGUUCAAUUCCUACAUGCUCAGAUGGCCCAAUGGCUAGGUAAUUGGACAGGCUGAUUUGGGCCUGAGUCUCCUUUGUUUCUUUGUUUUUUGCUUUUCAGGGCAGCACUCACAGCACUUGUAAGUGCCCAGGUUAGAGGUCAAAUUGGAGCUACCACUGCUGGCCUAUACCACAGCCACAUCAACAUGGGAUCCAAAAUAUGUCUGUGACCUACACCACAGCUUGCAGAAAUGCCAGAUCCUUAACCCACUGAGUGAGGCCAAGGAUUGAAUCUGCAACCUCAUGGUUACAAGUCAGAUUCAUUUCCACUGCUCCACAAUGGGAACUCCUCCUGGAACAACUCUGGACCCAGAGACACCUGGCUUGAAUGUUAGACUUGCAGAUCUUUCAAAUAAUCCUGGUGGGGAGUUUGGCUUCUGGGAUUCUGGUCAUGAAUGCAGUGUCCCCCUGUGGUGGUUUUUGGGGCAUGGGCUGUACCCAUGGCUGGGUUUUUCUCUCCAGAUAUCUGCACAACUUUCAUCUUCCCUCUGCACCUGGCCGAGUUGCUUCAGCCUCUACAAGACACAUAUUUGAAGGAAGUUCUCUCAAUCCUGGUAAGGAAAGUGAGUGAAAGGACAUCUACAUCCUCCUCCUUCCCACUCCACCUGAGCCACCUACGCCUCUUCAGGGGGCCCCAAGGGACCUACCUUAAUCCAGAUCAAGUGAGUGAAGCCUGGGAUCCUGGAUCUCAAGGUGGGUGCAGGGCUGAGGGGCACUGA
rnacentral:lncRNA from 1 species